GGAUGCGAUCAUACCAGCACUAAAGCAUCGGAUCCCAUCAGAACUCCGAAGUUAAGCGUGCGUGGGCGAGAGUAGUACUAGGAUGGGUGACCUCCUGGGAAGUCCUCGUGUUGCAUUCC
rnacentral:rRNA from 1 species